rnacentral:miRNA from 1 species
AACCUCAUCAACCGGAAGGAAUCCCUUCCGGUCGAUGAGGUUGUUAUACCUCAUCGACCAGAAGGAACCCCUUCCGGUUGAUGAGGUU